CCUACGGGUGGCAGCAGUGAGGAAUCUUGCUCAAUGGACGAGAGUCUGAACCAGCCAAGUAGCGUGAAGGAUGACUGCCCUAUGAGUGGUAAACUUCGUUUAUAAAGGAAUAAAACGAGGCACGUGUGCCUUUUUGCAUGGACUUUAUGAAUAAGGAUCGUCUAACUCCGGGCCAGCAGCCGCGGUAAUACGGAGGAUCCGAGCGUUAUCCGGAUUUGUUGGGUUGAAAGGGAACGUAGAUGGGUUGUUAAGUCAGUUGUGAAAGUUUGCGGCUCAACCGUACAAUUGCAAUUGAUACUGGCAGUCUUGAGUGCAGUUGAGGUGGGCGGAAUUCGAGGUGUAGCGGUGAAAUGCUUAGAUAUCUCGAAGAACCCCGAUUGCGAAGGCAGCUUACUAAACUGUGACUGACAUUGAUGUUCGAAAGUGUGGGUAGCAAACAGGAUUAGAUACCCUAGUAGUC
rnacentral:rRNA from 1 species